CAGUAGCGGCGAGCGAACGGGGAGGAGCCCAGAGCCUGAAUCAGUGUGUGUGUUAGUGGAAGCGUCUGGAAAGGCGCGCGAUACAGGGUGACAGCCCCGUACACAAAAAUGCACAUGCUGUGAGCUCGAUGAGUAGGGCGGGACACGUGGUAUCCUGUCUGAAUAUGGGGGGACCAUCCUCCAAGGCUAAAUACUCCUGACUGACCGAUAGUGAACCAGUACCGUGAGGGAAAGGCGAAAAGAACCCCGGCGAGGGGAGUGAAAAAGAACCUGAAACCGUGUACGUACAAGCAGUGGGAGCACGCUUAGGCGUGUGACUGCGUACCUUUUGUAUAAUGGGUCAGCGACUUAUAUUCUGUAGCAAGGUUAACCGAAUAGGGGAGCCGAAGGGAAACCGAGUCUUAACUGGGCGUUAAGUUGCAGGGUAUAGACCCGAAACCCGGUGAUCUAGCCAUGGGCAGGUUGAAGGUUGGGUAACACUAACUGGAGGACCGAACCGACUAAUGUUGAAAAAUUAGCGGAUGACUUGUGGCUGGGGGUGAAAGGCCAAUCAAACCGGGAGAUAGCUGGUUCUCCCCGAAAGCUAUUUAGGUAGCGCCUCGUGAAUUCAUCUCCGGGGGUAGAGCACUGUUUCGGCAAGGGGGUCAUCCCGACUUACCAACCCGAUGCAAACUGCGAAUACCGGAGAAUGUUAUCACGGGAGACACACGGCGGGUGCUAACGUCCGUCGUGAAGAGGGAAACAACCCAGACCGCCAGCUAAGGUCCCAAAGUCAUGGUUAAGUGGGAAACGAUGUGGGAAGGCCCAGACAGCCAGGAUGUUGGCUUAGAAGCAGCCAUCAUUUAAAGAAAGCGUAAUAGCUCACUGGUCGAGUCGGCCUGCGCGGAAGAUGUAACGGGGCUAAACCAUG
rnacentral:rRNA from 1 species